UACGUAGGGUGCGAGCGUUGUCCGGAAUUACUGGGCGUAAAGAGCUCGUAGGUGGUUUGUCGCGUUGUUCGUGAAAACCUGAGGCUUAACCUUGGGCGUGCGGGCGAUACGGGCAGACUGGAGUACUGCAGGGGAGACUGGAAUUCCUGGUGUAGCGGUGGAAUGCGCAGAUAUCAGGAGGAACACCAAUGGCGAAGGCAGCUCGCUGGGACGGUACUGACGCUAAGGCGCGAAAGCGUGGGGAGCAAACAGG
rnacentral:rRNA from 1 species